UGCCUUGUUUGACUUUGGGCUUUGCCUUUCCAGUGUAAAUCUGUACUUCCGGAAUAUGAGUAAUGAUUUGGAGGCCUACACCAAUCAUGCUAGACGGAAGACUAUAGAGCCUGCUGAUUUAGAGCUUCUCAUGCGACGCCAAAGACUGAUAACAGACAAGAUGCCUUUAAAUGUGCUGAUAGAGCGCCACUUGCCUCUUGAAUACAGAAAGCUGCUCAUUCCUGUUGCCACCGCUGGAAACAAAGUAGUCCCACCAAAGCCAUUAUGAGAUGUUAGCAAUGUAUCCUGAGGCUAAAAACAUCAUGUUCAGUUUAGGGAAGGAAACAUCAAUCCAGCUAGUUCUACCAGCUACCUCUUGCACUGAGGGAAAAUGGAAACUUCAAUGCUAUAUAAAGUUUAUAGUCGUAGUAAAAGUUUAUGAACAAA